rnacentral:rRNA from 1 species
UGGCGGCAGGCUUACACAUGCAAGUCGAACGGUAGCAGGAGGAAGCUUGCUUUCUUGCUGACGAGUGGCGGACGGGUGAGUAAUGCUUGGGAAUCUGGCUUAUGGAGGGGGGUAACUACUGGAAACGGUAGCUAAUACCGCGUAAUAUCGAGAGAUUAAAGGGUGGGACUUUCGGGCCACCUGCCAUAAGAUGAGCCCAAGUGGGAUUAGGUAGUUGGUGGGGUAAAGGCCUACCAAGCCUGCGAUCUCUAGCUGGUCUGAGAGGAUGGCCAGCCACACUGGAACUGAGACACGGUCCAGACUCCUACGGGAGGCAGCAGUGGGGAAUAUUGCACAAUGGGGGGAACCCUGAUGCAGCCAUGCCGCGUGAAUGAAGAAGGCCUUCGGGUUGUAAAGUUCUUUCGGUGAUGAGGAAGGUGUUUUGUUUAAUAGACAAAGCAAUUGACGUUAGUCACAGAAGAAGCACCGGCUAACUCCGUGCCAGCAGCCGCGGUAAU